AGAUCCUGUUCUCCUGGAGGCUGUGAGUAGAACAUGCAAUGCUAAAUAGUCUACUGCUUCAGGGGUCAUUUUUCUCCCUUUCUGUGUUCCCCCAAGAUGAAUAUCAGCAGCAGCAAGGAAACAGAGCCCAAGCACAGAAAUAGACAGCGCAUCUUUGUGAGCAGGAACACAGAACCCAGCUCCUCCUCACUCCAUCUCCCACCUUCAGGACCAGAAGCACCACCACAGAGCAGUCACCACACAGGAGCUACUCCUAGAGCCAAGGAAGAGACUCCUUAACCAGGGGGGGCUCCCCCCUCCCACCCCCAC
ensembl:lncRNA